rnacentral:rRNA from 1 species
GAUGAACGCUGGCGGCGUGCCUAAUACAUGCAAGUCGAGCGAACGGACGAGAAGCUUGCUUCUCUGAUGUUAGCGGCGGACGGGUGAGUAACACGUGGAUAACCUACCUAUAAGACUGGGAUAACUUCGCGAAACCGGAGCUAAUACCGGAAGAUAAUUUGAACCUCAUGGUUCCAACGUGAAAGAAGGUCUUGCUGUCAGUUAUAGAUGGAUCCGCGCUGCAUUCGCUAGUUGGUCAGGUAACGGCUUAACAAGGCAACGAUGCUUAGCCGACCUGAAAGGGAGAAUGGGCAGACGGGAAGAGAGACACGGUCGCCACUCUUGGGGGAGGCAGCAGUAGGGAAUCUUACGCGAUGGGGGAGUGCGUGACGGAGCGAAGCCGGCGGAGUGAUGAAGGAGCUCUGAUGCUAAAACGCUGUUAGUAGGAGAGAACAAAUAUGUUUUUAACGGUGAACAUCAUGACGGUACCUAGACAGAAAGCCACGGCUAACUUCGUG